rnacentral:lncRNA from 1 species
CUGACCAAGUGUUGUUACUUUGUAGCCGAUCCAUCAUCCAAGAUGGCCGCCAGCGGGGGACUUAGUUUAACAUAGGACCCUAUGGGAAAUAUAUACAAAUGUCUUCUUUUAGAGAACCACUGAAUGGAAUGAAACCAAACAUGGCAUGAAUGUUCCUUAUGAGGUUCUGACCAAGUGUUGUUACUUUGUAGCCGAUCCAUCAUCCAAGAUGGCCGC